GGAGACCAACCCUGCAUUCCUAGGUCUUCAUAUUAAGUGAUCAGGACUGAACACAGUACACAACAUGGAUUUGUGGUUGAUUUGUGUUUUCCUCAUUGCUCUUUUUAAAGGUGUCCAGUGCAAGGAUCACCUAGUGUAUUCUGGGGGUGGCCUGGUACAGCCUGGAACAUCCCUGAGAAUCUCCUGUGUAGCCUCUGGUUUCAGUUUUACUAGAGACUGGAUGAAAUGGGUUCGCCAAGCUCCAAGGAAGGGGCUGGAGUGGGUUGCAGACAUUAAUGGAGACAGCAGUUCCACAAGGUAUGUGCCUUCAGUGAGGGGCCGAUUCUCCAUCUUCAGAGACAAUGCCAAGAAUGCUCUGUACCUGCAAAUGAACAGUCUGAAGUCUGAGGACACAGCCACCUAUUACUGUGCUAGCUACACAAUGAUGAGACUUAAGUGUGAACCCAGACAUAAACUUCACCCUAAGGCCAUUCAUGACCACCAGGGGGUGCACAGCAUAAAUAGAUCACAGACCGUCUAG